rnacentral:tRNA from 1 species
GGGGGCGUACCUCAGAUGGUAGAGCGCUCGCUUAGCACGCGAGAGGUACCGGGAUCGAUACCCGGCGCCUCCA